rnacentral:rRNA from 1 species
GACGAACGCUGGCGGCGUGCUUAACACAUGCAAGUCGAACGGAAAGGCCCUGCUUUUGUGGGGUGCUCGAGUGGCGAACGGGUGCGUAACACGUGAGUAACCUGCUCUUGUCUUUGGGAUAACUUAAGGAAACUGGGGCUAAUCCCGGAUAGGAGCUCCUGCUGCAUGGUGGGGGUUGGAAAGUUUCGGCGGGUGGGGAUGGACUCGCGGCUUAUCAGCUUGUUGGUGGGGUAGUGGCUUACCAAGGCAUUGACGGGUAGCCGGCCUGGGUGGGUGACCGGCCACAUUGGGACUGAGAUACGGCCCAGACUCCAACGGGAGGCAGCAGUGGGGAAUAUUGCACAAUGGGCGGAAGCCGGAUGCAGCAACGCCGCGUGCGGGAUGACGGCCUUCGGGUUGUAAACCGCUUUCGCCUGUGACGAAGCGUGAGUGACGGUAAUGGGUAAAGAAGCACCGGCUAACUACGUG